CGUUCUGUAAGCCUGUGAAGGUGUGCUGUGAGGCAUGCUGGAGGUAUCAGAAGUGCGAAUGCUGACAUAAGUAACGAUAAAGCGGGUGAAAAGCCCGCUCGCCGGAAGACCAAGGGUUCCUGUCCAACGUUAAUCGGGGCAGGGUGAGUCGACCCCUAAGGCGAGGCCGAAAGGCGUAGUCGAUGGGAAACAGGUUAAUAUUCCUGUACUUGGUGUUACUGCGAAGGGGGGACGGAGAAGGCUAUGUUGGCCGGGCGACGGUUGUCCCGGUUUAAGCGUGUAGGCUGGUUUUCCAGGCAAAUCCGGAAAAUCAAGGCUGAGGCGUGAUGACGAGGCACUACGGUGCUGAAGCAACAAAUGCCCUGCUUCCAGGAAAAGCCUCUAAGCAUCAGGUAACAUCAAAUCGUACCCCAAACCGACACAGGUGGUCAGGUAGAGAAUACCAAGGCGCUUGAGAGAACUCGGGUGAAGGAACUAGGCAAAAUGGUGCCGUAACUUCGGGAGAAGGCACGCUGAUAUGUAGGUGAAGUCCCUCGCGGAUGGAGCUGAAAUCAGUCGAAGAUACCAGCUGGCUGCAACUGUUUAUUAAAAACACAGCACUGUGCAAACACGAAAGUGGACGUAUACGGUGUGACGCCUGCCCGGUGCCGGAAGGUUAAUUGAUGGGGUCAGCGCAAGCGAAGCUCUUGAUCGAAGCCCCGGUAAACGGCGGCCGUAACUAUAACGGUCCUAAGGUAGCGAAAUUCCUUGUCGGGUAAGUUCCGACCUGCACGAAUGGCGUAAUGAUGGCCAGGCUGUCUCCACCCGAGACUCAGUGAAAUUGAACUCGCUGUGAAGAUGCAGUGUACCCGCGGCAAGACGGAAAGACCCCGUGAACCUUUACUAUAGCUUGACACUGAACAUUGAGCCUUGAUGUGUAGGAUAGGUGGGAGGCUUAGAAGUGUGGACGCCAGUCUGCAUGGAGCCGACCUUGAAAUACCACCCUUUAAUGUUUGAUGUUCUAACGUUGACCCGUAAUCCGGGUUGCGGACAGUGUCUGGUGGGUAGUUUGACUGGGGCGGUCUCCUCCUAAAGAGUAACGGAGGAGCACGAAGGUUGGCUAAUCCUGGUCGGACAUCAGGAGGUUAGUGCAAUGGCAUAAGCCAGCUUGACUGCGAGCGUGACGGCGCGAGCAGGUGCGAAAGCAGGUCAUAGUGAUCCGGUGGUUCUGAAUGGAAGGGCCAUCGCUCAACGGAUAAAAGGUACUCCGGGGAUAACAGGCUGAUACCGCCCAAGAGUUCAUAUCGACGGCGGUGUUUGGCACCUCGAUGUCGGCUCAUCACAUCCUGGGGCUGAAGUAGGUCCCAAGGGUAUGGCUGUUCGCCAUUUAAAGUGGUACGCGAGCUGGGUUUAGAACGUCGUGAGACAGUUCGGUCCCUAUCUGCCGUGGGCGCUGGAGAACUGAGGGGGGCUGCUCCUAGUACGAGAGGACCGGAGUGGACGCAUCACUGGUGUUCGGGUUGUCAUGCCAAUGGCACUGCCCGGUAGCUAAAUGCGGAAGAGAUAAGUGCUGAAAGCAUCUAAGCACGAAACUUGCCCCGAGAUGAGUUCUCCCUGACCCUUUAAGGGUCCUGAAGGAACGUUGAAGACGAC
rnacentral:rRNA from 1 species